rnacentral:rRNA from 1 species
UGGGGAAUCAUAGACAAUGGGCGGAAGCCUGAUCUUGCCAUGCCGCGUGAACGAUGAAGGCCUUAGGGUUGUAAGUUCUUUCACCGGUGACGAUAAUGACGGUAGCCGGAGAAGAAGCCCCGGCUAACUCCGUGCCAGCAGCCGCGGUAAUACGGAGGGGGCUAGCGUUGUUCGGAAUUACUGGGCGUAAAGCGCGCGCAGGCGGGCAUUUAAGUCGGGGGUGAAAUCCCGGGGCUCAACCCCGGAACUGCCUUCGAUACUGGGUGCCUAGAGGUCGAGAGAGGUGAGUGGAAUUCCGAGUGUAGAGGUGAAAUUCGUAGAUAUUCGGUGGAACACCAGUGGCGAAGGCGGCUCACUGGCCCGGUACUGACGCUGAGGUGCGAAAGCGUGGGGAGCAAACAGGAUUAGAUACCCGUGUAGUCC